rnacentral:lncRNA from 1 species
AUUUAUAGACUAAAAUGGAAAUUCAAAAACCCUCUGAAAUUAGACUGAAAUGGGUUUACUACAUCCACUGUUUACUACAUGAGUUUAUUGCUUCUAUAAACUCAAAUUAGACAUUGUUGAGGAAAUAUAACACAUUCUGAUAAUACCAUUGAUAGCCACAACUGCUUUCUCCAGCUCCAGCCUUGGCAUAUUUUUCAUUCAUUGAUCGUGCAGAACCUAUGACUAACUUCAUGCUGGGCACUGUUCAUCUCAAAUCAUAAAUUACAAAGCCUGCCUUCAACAUGAAAUAAGAAAAAUAUAGCAUGAUGAAUUUCCUUUACUCAAUUUCGUACUGAUCCAUGAAUGAAGCUACAAAAGGAUGUUCAGAUCCCUAUCCUGAAAUGAGGAUUAAAGAGAGUGAUAAGACAAUUAACUCUUUCUAGGUAAGUUAAAUAUAAUACAAAAUCAAUGCCUCUUUCUAGGACCCUCAGCUGCAGCUUUCACAUCCUUUGAACUGGAACCACCCUUAUUGUUAUUAAGCAUGAGCGACCUAAUGAGUAUGUUUUGUUGGUCUGUCUUUAUG